GUUGAACUUGAGUUUGUGGUGUUUGUUGAACUCCAGCUUGUGUUAUGUUUGAACUUGAGGUUGUGGUAUUUUUGAACCUGAGUUUGUGUGUUUUUUUAACUUGAGUUUGUGGCGUGUUUGAACUUGAGAUUGUGGCGUGUUUGAACUUGAGUUUGUGGUGGUUUUUGAACUUGAGGUUGUGAAAAUUGUUAAAACUUGAGAAUCAGGUGUUGGUUGAACUUGAGUUUGUGGUUUUUGUUGAACUUGAUUUUGUGCUUUGUUUGAACUUUAGUUUAUGUUUUUUUUGUACUUGCGUUUGUGUUGUUUUUGAACUUGAGGUUUUGGAAAUUGUAAAAACUUGAGAAUCAUGAGUUUGUGGUUUUUGUUGAACUUGAGUUUGUGUGUUGUUGAACUCAAGAUUUUGUGUUUGUUGAACUUCAAUUUUUGUCGUGUUUGAACUUGAGUUUGUGGUGUUUUUUGAACUUGAGGUUGUGUUGUUUUUGAACUUGAGGUUGUGGAAAUUGUAAAAACUUGAGAAUCAGGUGUUGGUUGAACUUGAGUUUGUGGUUUUUGUUGAACUUGAGUUUGUGUGUUUUUUUAAUUUGAGUUUGUUGUUUCUGAACUUGAGGUUGUGGCAAUUGUUGAACUUGAGAAUUGGGUAUUGGUUGAACUUGAGUUUGUGUGUUUGUUGAACUUGAGUUUGUGUCGUGUUUGAACUUCAGUUUGUGGUGUUUUUUGAACUUUAGGUUGUGGUGUUUUUGAACUUGAGUUUUUGGUAUUUUUGAACUUGAGGUUGUGGCAAUUGUUGAACUUGAGUUUGUGACGUGUUUGAACUUGAUUUUGUGGUGUUAUUGAACUCGAGUUUGUGGUGUUUGUUGAACUUGAGUUUGUGUCGUAUUUGAACUUGAGGUUGUGGUGUUGUUGAACUCGAGUUUUUGUGUUUGUUGUACUUGAGUUUGUGUUGUUUUUGAACUUGAGUUUGUGGUGUUGGUUGAACUUGAAGUUGUGGUGUUUUUGAACUUGAGUUUGUGGCGGUUUUUGAACUUGAGGUUGUGGCAAUUGUUGAACUUGAGUUUGUGACGUGUUUGAACUUGAUUUGCUGGUGUUUUUGAAUUCGAAUUUGUGGUGUUUUUGAACUUGAGUUUGUGGUGUUUGUUGAACUUGAGAAUUGGGUAUUGGUUGAACUUGAGUUUUUGUGUUUGUUGAACUUGAGUUUGUGUCGUGUUUGAACUUGAGUUUGUGGUGUUUUUUGAACUUGAGGUUGUGGUGUUUUUGAACUUGAGGUUGUGGCAAUUGUUGAACUUGAGUUUGUGACGUGUUUGUACUUGAUUUUAUGGUGUUUUUGAACUUGAGUUUGUGUUGUUUUUGAACUUGAGUUUGUGGUGUUUGUUGAACUUGAGUUUGUGUCGUGUUUGAACUUGAGGUUGUGGUGUUUUUGAACUCGAGUUUUUGUCUUUGUUGAACUUCAGUUUGUGUCGUGUUUGAACUUGAGUUUGUGGUGUUUUUUGAACUUGAGGUUGUGGUGUUUUUGAACUUGAGUUUUUGGCGGUUUUUGAACUUGAGGUUGUUGCAAUUGUUGAACUUGAAAAUUGGGUAUUGGUUGAACUUGAGUUUGUGUGUUUGUUGAACUUGAGUUUGUGUCGUGUUUGAACUUCAGUUUGUAGUGUUUUUUGAACUUGAGGUUGUGGUGUUUUUGAACUUGAGUUUGUGGCGGUUUUUGAACUUGAGGUAGUGGAAAUUGUUGAACUUGAGUUUGUGACGUGUUUGAACUUGAGUUUGUGUUGUGUUUGAACUUGAGUUUGUGUUUUUUUAUCUUGAGUUUGUUGUUUCUGAACUUGAGGUUGUGGCAAUUGUUGAACUUGAGUCUGUUGUUUUUAGUGAACUUUAUUUGGUGGCAAUUGUUGAACUUGAGUUUGUGGCAUUUGUUGAACUUGAGUUUGUGACGUGUUUGAACUUGAGUUUGUGUUAUUUUUGAACUUCAGGUUGUGGAAAUUGUUAAACUUGAGAAUUGGGAAUUGGUUGAGCUUGAGGUUGUGGUGUUUUUGAACUUGAGUUUGUGGCGUGUUUGAACUUGAGGUUGUGGAAUUUGUUAAACUUGAGAUUUGGGUGUUGAUUGAACUUGAGUUUGUUUCGUGUUUGAUCUUGAGGUUGUGGUGUUUUUGGACUUGAGGUUGCUUGUUUGUUUAACUUGAGUUUGUGUGUUUUUUAACUUGAGUUUGUGGUUUUUUUUAACUUGAGGUUGUGGUUUUUUGAACUUCAGUUUGUGGAAAUUUUUAAACUUGAGGAUUGGGUGGUGGUUGAACUUGAGUUUGUGGUGUUUUUUGAACUUGAGGUUGUGGUGUUUUUGACUUGAGUUCGUGGCGUGUUUGAACUUGAGGUUGUUGCAAUUGUUAAACUUGAGAUUUGGGUGUUGAUUGAACUUUGCCAUUUGUUGAACUUGAGUUUGUGGUGUUUGUUGAACUCCAGCUUGUGUUGUGUUUGAACUUGAGGUUGUGGUAUUUUUGAACUUGAGUUUGUGGUGUUUUUUUGGACUUGAGUUUGUGGCGUGUUUGAACUUGAGAUUGUGGCGUGUUUGAACUUGAGUUUGUGGUGGUUUUUGAACUUGAGGUUGUGAAAAUUGUUAAAACUUGAGAAUCAGGUGUUGGUUGAACUUGAGUUUGGGUAUUGGUUGAACUUGAUUUUGUGCUUUGUUUGAACUUUAGUUUAUGGUUUUUUUUGUACUUGAGUUUGUGUUGUUUUUGAACUUGAGGUUGUGGAAAUUGUAAAAACAUGAGAAUCAGGUGUUGGUUGAACUUGAGUUUGUGGUUUUUGUUGAACUUGAGUUUGUGUCGUUUUUGAGCUUGAGGUUGUGGUGUUUUUGAACUUGAGUUUGUGUGUUUGUUGAACUUGAGUUUGUGUGUUUUUUUAACUUGAGUUUGUUGUUUCUGAAUUUGAGGUUGUGGCAAUUGUUGAACUUGAGUCUGUUGUUUUUAGUGAACUUUAGUUGGUGGCAUUUGUUGAACUUGAGUUUGUGACGUGUUUAAACAUGAUUUUGUGGUGUUUUUGAACUCGAGUUUGUGGUGUUUUUGAACUUGAGGUUGUUGAAAUUGUUAAACUUGAGAAUUGGGUAUUGGUUGAACUUGAGUUUGUGUGUUUGUUUAACUUGAGUUUGUGUCGUGUUUGGACUUCAGUUUGUGGUGUUUUUUGAACUUGAGGUUGUGGUGUUUUUGAACUUGAGUUUGUGGCGGUUUUUGAACUUGAGGUUGUGGCAAUUGUUGAACUUGAGUUUGUGACGUGUUUGAACUUGAUUUUGUGGUGUUUUUGAACUCGAGUUUGUGGUGUUUUUGAACUUGAGUUUGUGGUGUUUGUUGAACUUGAGUCUGUUGUUUUUAGUGAACUUUAGUUGGUGGCAAUUGUUGAACUUGAGUUUUUGGCAUUUGUUGAACUUGAGUUUGUGACGUGUUUAAACAUGAUUUUGUGGUGUUUUUGAACUCGAGUUUGUGGUAUUUUUGAACUUGAGGUUAUUGAAAUUGUUAAACUUGAGAAUUGGGUAUUGGUUGAACUUGAGUUUGUGUGUUUGUUGAACUUGAGUUUGUGUCGUGUUUGGACUUCAGUUUGUGGUGUUUUUUGAACUUGAGUUUGUGGCGGUUUUUGAACUUGAGGUUGUGGCAAUUGUUAAACUUGAGAAUUGGGAAUUGGUUGAGCUUGAGGUUGUGGUGUUUUUGAACUUGAGUUUGUGGCGUGUUUGAACUUGAGGUUGUGGAAAUUGUUAAACUUGAGAUUUGGGUGUUGAUUGAACUUGAGUUUGUUUCGUGUUUGAUCUUGAGGUUGUGGUGUUUUUUGACUUGAUGUUGCUUGUUUGUUUAACUUGAGUUUGUGUGUUUUUUGAACUUGAGUUUGUGGUUUUUUUUAACUUGAGGUUUUGGUUUUUGAACUUCAGUUUGUGGAAAUUUUUAAACUUGAGGAUUGGGUGGUGGUUGAACUUGAGUUUGUGGUGUUUUUUUGAACUUGAGGUUGUGGUGUUUUUGACUUGAGUUCGUGGCGUGUUUGAACUUGAGGUUGUUGCAAUUGUUAAACUUGAGAUUUGGGUGUUGGUUGAACUUAAAACUUUUCCAUUUUUUGAACUUGAGUUUGUGUUAUUUUUGAACUUGAGGUUGUGAAAAUUGUUAAAACUUGAGAAUCAGGUGUUGGUUGAACUUGAGUUUGUGGUUUUUGUUGAACUUGAUUUUGUGCUUUGUUUGAACUUUAGUUUAUGGGUUUUUUGUACUUGAGGUUGUGUUGUUUUUGAACUUGAGGUUGUGGAAAUUGUAAAAACUUGAGAAUAAGGUGUUGGUUGAACUUGAGUUUGUGGUUUUUGUUGAACUUGAGUUUGUGUAGUUUUUGAGCUUGAGGUUGUGGUGUUUUUGAACUUGAGUUUGCGUGUUUGUUGAACUUGAGUUUGUGUGUUUUUUUAACUUGAGUUUGUUGUUUCUGAACUUGAGGUUGUGGCAAUUGUUGAACUUGAGUCUGUUGUUUUUAGUGAACUUUAGUUGGUGGCAAUUGUUGAACUUGAGUUUGUGGCAUUUGUUGAACUUGAGUUUGUGACGUGUUUAAACAUGAUUUUGUGGUGUUUUUGAACUCGAGUUUGUGGUGUUUUUGAACUUGAGUUUGUGUAGUGUUUGAACUUCAGUUUGUGGUGUUUUUUGAGCUUGAGGUUGUGGUGUUUUUGAACUUGAGUUUGUGGCGUGUUUGAACUUGAGGUUGUGGAAAUUGUUAAACUUGAGAAUCAGGUGUUGGUUGAACUUGAGUUUGUGGUUUUUGUUGAACUUGAGUUUGUGUAGUUUUUGAGCUUGAGGUUGUGGUGUUUUUGAACUUGAGUUUGCGUGUUUGUUGAACUUGAGUUUGUGUGUUUUUUUAACUUGAGUUUGUUGUUUCUGAACUUGAGGUUGUGGCAAUUGUUGAACUUGAGUCUGUUGUUUUUAGUGAACUUUAGUUGGUGGCAAUUGUUGAACUUGAGUUUGUGGCAUUUGUUGAACUUGAGUUUGUGACGUGUUUAAACAUGAUUUUGUGGUGUUUUUGAACUCGAGUUUGUGGUGUUUUUGAACUUGAGUUUGUUGUUUCUGAACUUGAGGUUUUGGCAAUUGUUGAACUUGAGUCUGUGGUUUUUAGUGAACUUUAGUUGGUUGCAAUUGUUGAACAUGAGUUUAUGGCGUUUGUUGAACUUGAGUUUGUGACGUGUUUGAACUUGAGUUUGUGUUAUUUUUGAACUUGAGGUUGUGGCAAUUUCUAAAAUUGAGAUUUGGGUGUUGGUUGAACUUAAAAGUUUGACAUUCGUUGAACUUCAGUUUGUGGUUUUUGUUGAACUUGAGUUUGUGUGGUGUUUGAACUUGAGUUUGUGGGUUUUUUUAACUUGAGGUUGUGGUUUUUUGAACUUCAGUUUGUGGAAAUUUUUAAACUUGAGGAUUGGGUGAACUUGAGUUUGUGACGUGUUUAAACAUGAUUUUGUGGUGUUUUUGAACUCGAGUUUGUGGUGUUUUUGAACUUGAGGUUGUUGAAAUUGUUAAACUUGAGAAUUGGGUAUUGGUUGAACUUGAGUUUGUGUGUUUGUUUAACUUGAGUUUGUGUCGUGUUUGGACUUCAGUUUGUGGUGUUUUUUGAACUUGAGGUUGUGGUGUUUUUGAACUUGAGUUUGUGGCGGUUUUUGAACUUGAGGUUGUGGCAAUUGUUAAACUUGAGUUUGUGACGUGUUUGAACUUGAUUUUGUGGUGUUUUUGAACUCGAGUUUGUGGUGUUUUUGAACUUGAGUUUGUGGUGUUUGUUGAACUUGAGUCUGUUGUUUUUAGUGAACUUUAGUUGGUGGCAAUUGUUGAACUUGAGUUUUUGGCAUUUGUUGAACUUGAGUUUGUGACGUGUUUAAACAUGAUUUUGUGGUGUUUUUGAACUCGAGUUUGUGGUAUUUUUGAACUUGAGGUUGUGGAAAUUGUUAAACUUGAGAAUUGGGUAUUUGUUGAACUUGAGUUUGUGUGUUUGUUGAACUUGAGUUUGUGUCGUGUUUGGACUUCAGUUUGUGGUGUUUUUGAACUUGAGUUUGUGGCGGUUUUUGAACUUGAGGUUGUGGCAAUUGUUGAACUUGAGUUUGUGACGUGUUUGAACUUGAUUUUGUGGUGUUUUUGAACUCGAGUUUGUGGUGUUUUUGAACUUGAGGUUAUUGAAAUUGUUAAACUUGAGAAUUGGGUAUUGGUUGAACUUGAGUUUGUGUGUUUGUUGAACUUGAGUUUGUGUCGUGUUUGGACUUCAGUUUGUGGUGUUUUUUGAACUUGAGUUUGUGGCGGUUUUUGAACUUGAGGUUGUGGCAAUUGUUAAACUUGAGAAUUGGGAAUUGGUUGAGCUUGAGGUUGUGGUGUUUUUGAACUUGAGUUUGUGGCGUGUUUGAACUUGAGGUUGUGGAAAUUGUUAAACUUGAGAUUUGGGUGUUGAUUGAACUUGAGUUUGUUUCGUGUUUGAUCUUGAGGUUGUGGUGUUUUUUGACUUGAUGUUGCUUGUUUGUUUAACUUGAGUUUGUGUGUUUUUUGAACUUGAGUUUGUGGUUUUUUUAACUUGAGGUUUUGGUUUUUGAACUUCAGUUUGUGGAAAUUUUUAAACUUGAGGAUUGGGUGGUGGUUGAACUUGAGUUUGUGGUGUUUUUUUGAACUUGAGGUUGUGGUGUUUUUGACUUGAGUUCGUGGCGUGUUUGAACUUGAGGUUGUUGCAAUUGUUAAACUUGAGAUUUGGGUGUUGGUUGAACUUAAAACUUUUCCAUUUUUUGAACUUGAGUUUGUGUUAUUUUUGAACUUGAGUUUGUGAAAAUUGUUAAAACUUGAGAAUCAGGUGUUGGUUGAACUUGAGUUUGUGGUUUUUGUUGAACUUGAUUUUGUGCUUUGUUUGAACUUUAGUUUAUGGGUUUUUUGUACUUGAGGUUGUGUUGUUUUUGAACUUGAGGUUGUGGAAAUUGUAAAAACUUGAGAAUAAGGUGUUGGUUGAACUUGAGUUUGUGGUUUUUGUUGAACUUGAGUUUGUGUAGUUUUUGAGCUUGAGGUUGUGGUGUUUUUGAACUUGAGGUUGCUUGUUUGUUGAACUUGAGUUUGUGUGUUUUUUUAACUUGAGUUUGUUGUUUCUGAACUUGAGGUUGUGGCAAUUGUUGAACUUGAGUCUGUUGUUUUUAGUGAACUUUAGUUGGUGGCAAUUGUUGAACUUGAGUUUGUGGCAUUUGUUGAACUUGAGUUUGUGACGUGUUUAAACAUGAUUUUGUGGUGUUUUUGAACUCGAGUUUGUGGUGUUUUUGAACUUGAGUUUGUGUAGUGUUUGAACUUCAGUUUGUGGUGUUUUUUGAGCUUGAGGUUGUGGUGUUUUUGAACUUGAGUUUGUGGCGUGUUUGAACUUGAGGUUGUGGAAAUUGUUAAACUUGAGAAUCAGGUGUUGGUUGAACUUGAGUUUGUUUCGUGUUUGAUCUUGAGUUUGUGGUGUUUUUGAACUUGAGGUUGCUUGUUUGUUUAACUUGAGUUUGUGUGUUUUUUUAACUUGAGUUUGUUGUUUCUGAACUUGAGGUUUUGGCAAUUGUUGAACUUGAGUCUGUGGUUUUUAGUGAACUUUAGUUGGUUGCAAUUGUUGAACAUGAGUUUAUGGCGUUUGUUGAACUUGAGUUUGUGACGUGUUUGAACUUGAGUUUGUGUUAUUUUUGAACUUGAGGUUGUGGCAAUUUCUAAAAUUGAGAUUUGGGUGUUGGUUGAACUUGAGUUUGUGGUGUUUUUUGAACUUGAGGCUGUGGUGUUUUUGACUUGAGUUCGUGGCGUGUUUGAACUUGAGGUUGUUGCAAUUGUUAAACUUGAGAUUUGGGUGUUGAUUGAACUUUGCCAUUUGUUGAACUUGAGUUUGUGGUGUUUGUUGAACUCCAGCUUGUGUUGUGUUUGAACUUGAGGUUGUGGUAUUUUUGAACUUGAGUUUGUGGUGUUUUUUUGGACUUGGGUUUGUGGCGUGUUUGAACUUGAGAUUGUGGCGUGUUUGAACUUGAGUUUGUGGUGGUUUUUGAACUUGAGGUUGUGAAAAUUGUUAAAACUUGAGAAUCAGGUGUUGGUUGAACUUGAGUUUGGGUAUUGGUUGAACUUGAUUUUGUGCUUUGUUUGAACUUUAGUUUAUGGUUUUUUUUGUACUUGAGUUUGUGUUGUUUUUGAACUUGAGGUUGUGGAAAUUGUAAAAACAUGAGAAUCAGGUGUUGGUUGAACUUGAGUUUGUGGUUUUUGUUGAACUUGAGUUUGUGUCGUUUUUGAGCUUGAGGUUGUGGUGUUUUUGAACUUGAGUUUGUGUGUUUGUUGAACUUGAGUUUGUGUGUUUUUUUAACUUGAGUUUGUUGUUUCUGAAUUUGAGGUUGUGGCAAUUGUUGAACUUGAGUCUGUUGUUUUUAGUGAACUUUAGUUGGUGGCAUUUGUUGAACUUGAGUUUGUGACUUCUUAAACAUGAUUUUGUGGUGUUUUUGAACUCGAGUUUGUGGUGUUUUUGAACUUGAGGUUGUUGAAAUUGUUAAACUUGAGAAUUGGGUAUUGGUUGAACUUGAGUUUGUGUGUUUGUUUAACUUGAGUUUGUGUCGUGUUUGGACUUCAGUUUGUGGUGUUUUUUGAACUUGAGGUUGUGGUGUUUUUGAACUUGAGUUUGUGGCGGUUUUUGAACUUGAGGUUGUGGCAAUUGUUGAACUUGAGUUUGUGACGUGUUUGAACUUGAUUUUGUGGUGUUUUUGAACUCGAGUUUGUGGUGUUUUUGAACUUGAGUUUGUGGUGUUUGUUGAACUUGAGUCUGUUGUUUUUAGUGAACUUUAGUUGGUGGCAAUUGUUGAACUUGAGUUUUUGGCAUUUGUUGAACUUGAGUUUGUGACGUGUUUAAACAUGAUUUUGUGGUGUUUUUGAACUCGAGUUUGUGGUAUUUUUGAACUUGAGGUUAUUGAAAUUGUUAAACUUGAGAAUUGGGUAUUGGUUGAACUUGAGUUUGUGUGUUUGUUGAACUUGAGUUUGUGUCGUGUUUGGACUUCAGUUUGUGGUGUUUUUUGAACUUGAGUUUGUGGCGGUUUUUGAACUUGAGGUUGUGGCAAUUGUUAAACUUGAGAAUUGGGAAUUGGUUGAGCUUGAGGUUGUGGUGUUUUUGAACUUGAGUUUGUGGCGUGUUUGAACUUGAGGUUGUGGAAAUUGUUAAACUUGAGAUUUGGGUGUUGAUUGAACUUGAGUUUGUUUCGUGUUUGAUCUUGAGGUUGUGGUGUUUUUUGACUUGAUGUUGCUUGUUUGUUUAACUUGAGUUUGUGUGUUUUUUGAACUUGAGUUUGUGGUUUUUUUUAACUUGAGGUUUUGGUUUUUGAACUUCAGUUUGUGGAAAUUUUUAAACUUGAGGAUUGGGUGGUGGUUGAACUUGAGUUUGUGGUGUUUUUUUGAACUUGAGGUUGUGGUGUUUUUGACUUGAGUUCGUGGCGUGUUUGAACUUGAGGUUGUUGCAAUUGUUAAACUUGAGAUUUGGGUGUUGGUUGAACUUAAAACUUUUCCAUUUUUUGAACUUGAGUUUGUGUUAUUUUUGAACUUGAGGUUGUGAAAAUUGUUAAAACUUGAGAAUCAGGUGUUGGUUGAACUUGAGUUUGUGGUUUUUGUUGAACUUGAUUUUGUGCUUUGUUUGAACUUUAGUUUAUGGGUUUUUUGAACUUGAGGUUGUGUUGUUUUUGAACUUGAGGUUGUGGAAAUUGUAAAAACUUGAGAAUAAGGUGUUGGUUGAACUUGAGUUUGUGGUUUUUGUUGAACUUGAGUUUGUGUAGUUUUUGAGCUUGAGGUUGUGGUGUUUUUGAACUUGAGUUUGCGUGUUUGUUGAACUUGAGUUUGUGUGUUUUUUUAACUUGAGUUUGUUGUUUCUGAACUUGAGGUUGUGGCAAUUGUUGAACUUGAGUCUGUUGUUUUUAGUGAACUUUAGUUGGUGGCAAUUGUUGAACUUGAGUUUGUGGCAUUUGUUGAACUUGAGUUUGUGACGUGUUUAAACAUGAUUUUGUGGUGUUUUUGAACUCGAGUUUGUGGUGUUUUUGAACUUGAGUUUGUGUAGUGUUUGAACUUCAGUUUGUGGUGUUUUUUGAGCUUGAGGUUGUGGUGUUUUUGAACUUGAGUUUGUGGCGUGUUUGAACUUGAGGUUGUGGAAAUUGUUAAACUUGAGAAUUAGGUGUUGGUUGAACUUGAGUUUGUUUCGUGUUUGAUCUUGAGUUUGUGGUGUUUUUGAACUUGAGGUUGCUUGUUUGUUUAACUUGAGUUUGUGUGUUUUUUUAACUUGAGUUUGUUGUUUCUGAACUUGAGGUUGUGGCAAUUGUUGAACUUGAGUCUGUUGUUUUUAGUGAACUUUAUUUGGUGGCAAUUGUUGAACUUGAGUUUGUGGCAUUUGUUGAACUUGAGUUUGUGACGUGUUUGAACUUGAGUUUGUGGUGUUUUUGAACUUGAGUUUGUGGUGUUUUUGAACUUGAGUUUGUGUCGUGUUUGAACUUGAGUUUGUGGUGUUUUUUGAGCUUGAGGUUGUGGUGUUUUUGAACUUGAGUUUGUGGCGUGUUUGAACUUGAGGUUGUGGAAAUUGUUAAACUUGAGAAUCAGGUGUUGGUUGAACUUGAGUUUGUUUCGUGUUUGAUCUUGAGUUUGUGGUGUUUUUGAACUUGAGGUUGCUUGUUUGUUUAACUUGAGUUUGUGUGUUUUUUUAACUUGAGUUUGUUGUUUCUGAACUUGAGGUUUUGGCAAUUGUUGAACUUGAGUCUGUGGUUUUUAGUGAACUUUAGUUGGUUGCAAUUGUUGAACAUGAGUUUAUGGCGUUUGUUGAACUUGAGUUUGUGACGUGUUUGAACUUGAGUUUGUGUUAUUUUUGAACUUGAGGUUGUGGCAAUUUCUAAAAUUGAGAUUUGGGUGUUGGUUGAACUUAAAAGUUUGACAUUCGUUGAACUUCAGUUUGUGGUUUUUGUUGAACUUGAGUUUGUGUGGUGUUUGAACUUGAGUUUGUGGGUUUUUUAACUUGAGGUUGUGGUUUUUUGAACUUCAGUUUGUGGAAAUUUUUAAACUUGAGGAUUGGGUGGUGGUUGAACUUGAGUUUGUGGUGUUUUUUGAACUUGAGGUUGUGGUGUUUUUGACUUGAGUUCGUGGCGUGUUUGAACUUGAGGUUGUUGCAAUUGUUAAACUUGAGAUUUGGGUGUUGAUUGAACUUUGCCAUUUGUUGAACUUGAGUUUGUGGUGUUUGUUGAACUCCAGCUUGUGUUGUGUUUGAACUUGAGGUUGUGGUAUUUUUGAACUUGAGUUUGUGGUGUUUUUUGGACUUGAGUUUGUGGCGUGUUUGAACUUGAGAUUGUGGCGUGUUUGAACUUGAGUUUGUGGUGGUUUUUGAACUUGAGGUUGUGAAAAUUGUUAAAACUUGAGAAUCAGGUGUUGGUUGAACUUGAGUUUGGGUAUUGGUUGAACUUGAUUUUGUGCUUUGUUUGAACUUUAGUUUAUGGUUUUUUUUGUACUUGAGUUUGUGUUGUUUUUGAACUUGAGGUUGUGGAAAUUGUAAAAACAUGAGAAUCAGGUGUUGGUUGAACUUGAGUUUGUGGUUUUUGUUGAACUUGAGUUUGUGUCGUUUUUGAGCUUGAGGUUGUGGUGUUUUUGAACUUGAGUUUGUGUGUUUGUUGAACUUGAGUUUGUGUGUUUUUUUAACUUGAGUUUGUUGUUUCUGAAUUUGAGGUUGUGGCAAUUGUUGAACUUGAGUCUGUUGUUUUUAGUGAACUUUAGUUGGUGGCAUUUGUUGAACUUGAGUUUGUGACGUGUUUAAACAUGAUUUUGUGGUGUUUUUGAACUCGAGUUUGUGGUGUUUUUGAACUUGAGGUUGUUGAAAUUGUUAAACUUGAGAAUUGGGUAUUGGUUGAACUUGAGUUUGUGUGUUUGUUGAACUUGAGUUUGUGUCGUGUUUGAACUUUAGUUUGUGGUGUUUUUUGAACUUGAGGUUGUGGUGUUUUUGAACUUGAGUUUGUGGCGGUUUUUGAACUUGAGGUUGUGGCAAUUGUUGAACUUGAGUUUGUGACGUGUUUGAACUUGAUUUUGUGGUGUUUUUGAACUUGAGUUUGUGGUGUUUUUGAACUUGAGUUUGUGGUGUUUGUUGAACUUGAGUCUGUUGUUUUUAGUGAACUUUAGUUGGUGGCAAUUGUUGAACUUGAGUUUUUGGCAUUUGUUGAACUUGAGUUUGUGACGUGUUUAAACAUGAUUUUGUGGUGUUUUUGAACUCGAGUUUGUGGUAUUUUUGAACUUGAGGUUAUUGAAAUUGUUAAACUUGAGAAUUGGGUAUUGGUUGAACUUGAGUUUGUGUGUUUGUUGAACUUGAGUUUGUGUCGUGUUUGGACUUCAGUUUGUGGUGUUUUUUGAACUUGAGUUUGUGGCGGUUUUUGAACUUGAGGUUGUGGCAAUUGUUAAACUUGAGAAUUGGGAAUUGGUUGAGCUUGAGUUUGUGUUAUUUUUGAACUUGAGUUUGUGGCGUGUUUGAACUUGAGGUUGUGGAAAUUGUUAAACUUGAGAUUUGGGUGUUGAUUGAACUUGAGUUUGUUUCGUGUUUGAUCUUGAGGUUGUGGUGUUUUUUGACUUGAUGUUGCUUGUUUGUUUAACUUGAGUUUGUGUGUUUUUUGAACUUGAGUUUGUGGUUUUUUUUAACUUGAGGUUUUGGUUUUUGAACUUCAGUUUGUGGAAAUUUUUAAACUUGAGGAUUGGGUGGUGGUUGAACUUGAGUUUGUGGUGUUUUUUUGAACUUGAGGUUGUGGUGUUUUUGACUUGAGUUCGUGGCGUGUUUGAACUUGAGGUUGUUGAAAUUGUUAAACUUGAGAUUUGGGUGUUGGUUGAACUUAAAACUUUUCCAUUUUUUGAACUUGAGUUUGUGUUAUUUUUGAACUUGAGGUUGUGAAAAUUGUUAAAACUUGAGAAUCAGGUGUUGGUUGAACUUGAGUUUGUGGUUUUUGUUGAACUUGAUUUUGUGCUUUGUUUGAACUUUAGUUUAUGGGUUUUUUGUACUUGAGGUUGUGUUGUUUUUGAACUUGAGGUUGUGGAAAUUGUAAAAACUUGAGAAUAAGGUGUUGGUUGAACUUGAGUUUGUGGUUUUUGUUGAACUUGAGUUUGUGUAGUUUUUGAGCUUGAGGUUGUGGUGUUUUUGAACUUGAGUUUGCGUGUUUGUUGAACUUGAGUUUGUGUGUUUUUUUAACUUGAGUUUGUUGUUUCUGAAUUUGAGGUUGUGGCAAUUGUUGAACUUGAGUCUGUUGUUUUUAGUGAACUUUAGUUGGUGGCAUUUGUUGAACUUGAGUUUGUGACGUGUUUAAACAUGAUUUUGUGGUGUUUUUGAACUCGAGUUUGUGGUGUUUUUGAACUUGAGGUUGUGGAAUUUGUUAAACUUGAGAAUUUGGUAUUGGUUGAUCUUGAGUUUGUGGUUUUUUUUGAACUUGAGUUUGUUUCGUGUUUGAACUUGAGGUUGUGGUUUUUUGAACUUGAGGUUGUGGUGUUUUUGAACUUGAGUUUGUGGCGGUUUUUGAACUUGAGGUUGUGGCAAUUGUUGAACUUGAGUUUGUGACGUGUUUGAACUUGAUUUUGUGGUGUUUUUGAACUCGAGUUUGUGGUGUUUUUGAACUUGAGUUUGUGGUGUUUGUUGAACUUGAGUCUGUUGUUUUUAGUGAACUUUAGUUGGUGGCAAUUGUUGAACUUGAGUUUUUGGCAUUUGUUGAACUUGAGUUUGUGACGUGUUUAAACAUGAUUUUGUGGUGUUUUUGAACUCGAGUUUGUGGUAUUUUUGAACUUGAG
rnacentral:lncRNA from 1 species